ACGCUCGACACCUACUGGAGGCAGCAGUGGGGAAUAUUGCACAAUGGGGGAAACCCUGAUGCAGCGACGCCGCGUGAGCGAAGAGUAUUUCGGUAUGUAAAGCUCUAUCAGCAGGGAAGAAGAAAGACGGUACCUGACUAAGAAGCCCCGGCUAACUACGUACCAGCAGCCGCGGUAAUCUGAGCGGGCUGGCAAGGC
rnacentral:rRNA from 1 species